rnacentral:misc_RNA from 1 species
CUGAGUAUUUGUCUUUUAAAGACAUCUCUCUAUCCAUAAACUCUUUUUUCUAAAAAGACAUGAUUUACACAAUUAGUCUGAAUGAUUAUAUAAAAAUCUUCA